AUGGAAAAAGCAAGAGAGUUCCAGAAAAACAUCUAUUUCUGCUUUAUUGACUAUGCCAAAGCCUUUGACUGUGUGGAUCACAAGAAACUGUGGAAAAUUCUGAAAGAGAUGGGAAUACCAGACCACCUAACCUGCCUCUUGAGAAACCUAUAUGUAGGGCAGGAAGCAACAGUUAGAACUGGACAUGGAACAACAGACUGGUUCCAAAUAGGAAAAGGAGUACCUCAAGGCUGUAUAUUGUCACCCUGCUUAUUUAACUUAUAUGCAGAAUACAUCAUGAGAAACACUGGACUGGAAGAAACACAACCUGGAAUCAAGAUUGCCGGGAGAAAUAUCAAUAACCUCAGAUAUGCAGAUGACACCACCCUUAUGGCAGAAAGUGAAGAGGAGCUAAAAAGCCUCUUGAUGAAAGUGAAAGAGGAGAGUGAAAAAAUUGGCUUAAAGCCCAACAUUCAGAAAACGAAGAUUAUGGCAUCUGGUCCCAUCACUUCAUGGGAAAUAGAUGGGGAAACAGUAGAAACAGUGUCAGACUUCAUUUUUGGGGGCUCCAAAAUCACUGCAGAUGGUGAGUGCAGCCAUGAAAUUAAAAGACACUUACUCCUUGGAAGAAAAGUUAUGACCAACCUAGACAGUAUAUUCAAAAGCAGAGACAUUACUUUGCCGACUAAGGUCCAUCUAGUCAAGGCUAUGGUUUUUCCUGUGGUCAUGUAUGGAUGUGAGAGCUGGACUGUGAAGAAGGCUGAGCACCGAAGAAUUGAUGCUUUUGAAGUGUGGUGUUGGAGAAGACUCUUGAGAGUCCCUUGGACUGCAAGGAGAUCCAACCAGUCCAUUCUGAAGGAGAUCAACCCUGGGAUUUCUUUGGAAGGAAUGAUGCUAAAGCUGAAACUCCAGUACUUUGGCCACCUCAUGCGAAGAGCUGACUCAUUGGAAAAGACUGAUGGUGGGAGGGAUUGGGGGCAGGAGGAGAAAGGGACGACUGAGGAUGAGAUGGCUGGAUGGCAUCACGGACUCGAUGGACGUGAGUUUGAGUGA
rnacentral:lncRNA from 1 species